UACGUAGGGGGCAAGCGUUGUCCGGAAUCAUUGGGCGUAAAGCGCACGCAGGCGGUCUUUUAAGUUUUGAGUGACAGGCGAGGGCUUAACCCUGGCAGGCCUUGGAAAACUGGAAGACUUGAGGGCGAGAGAGGGAUGCGGAAUUCCAGGUGGAGCGGUGAAAUGCGUAGAGAUCUGGAAGAACACCGAAGGCGAAGGCAGCAUCCUGGAGCGUUACUGACGCUGAUGUGCGAAAGCUAGGGGAGCGAACGGG
rnacentral:rRNA from 1 species